CCUACGGGUGGCUGCAGUGAGGAAUAUUGGUCAAUGGUCGGGAGACUGAACCAGCCAAGCCGCGUGAGGGAUGAAGGUACAGAGUAUCGUAAACCUCUUUUGUCAGGGAACAAAGGCGGGGACGCGUCCCCGGAUGAGUGUACCUGAAGAAAAGGCAUCGGCUAACUCCGUGCCAGCAGCCGCGGUAAUACGGAGGAUGCGAGGGUUAUCCGGAUUUACUGGGUGUAAAGGGAGCGUAGACGGCGGGGUAGGCCAGAUGUGAAAGCCCGGGGCUCAACCCCGGCACUGCAUUUGGAACUGGGGUGCUAGAGUGGUCGAAAGGCAGGCGGAAUUCCUGGUGUAGCGGUGAAAUGCGUAGAUAUUAGGAAGAACACCAGUGGCGAAGGCAGCAUGCGGGA
rnacentral:rRNA from 1 species